CAGCACACAGGUAUAGAAUAGCACAAGCUGAGAAACAAUCCUACCCAUUCGGAAAGACCAUUUGAAGCCAUAUAAGGGAAAGCCUGAUUUCCUACCGGACCAAAUUGUCCUCAAAUCUCUUGGGCCUCCAAACAGAGCAACUUCCAUUUAUCUCACAAUUUGAUAUGCACUUUCUGAAGGAUCCCAAAGGAAUUUGCAGAUCAAGAAGAACCUUCACUCGGAAAUGUCAGCCCAGUACAAAUGGAUGAAAAACAAAUGCAACUCAGCAGGCAGAGCACAGUAAAUACUUCUCAACUCAAAGCAAAGCCAUGCAACAGUUGAAGAACAUGGAUGAACAUGAAGUACAUAUUCAAGCAAAAGUGAAGUAAUUAAGAAUGAAAAAUCUAGAUAUAAAAAUUCUGGAACUAGCAUUUAGCCAUUACUUCUGCUGCUCUAGUUACUCUCAUUAAAAGCAU